UCCUCGCGGUGGCCUCGAAUGAUUCUGAUGUAACCACAUUUCGUCAGGGGAUCCUACGAAUUUUGGCAUGAACUCUCGUCGAUUGUGGAGGAGAACCUGUGGCCCUCUCUCCCCCAUGCUUGUGUCGGGUCUCAGCUUCUCGCCUCCCUCUCCAGCACUUGACGCCGAUGGAUUUGGCCGCCGGAGCAGGAACUUAGGGUUUCCUCCUCCUUGGUCGAUGGAGUGCUUUGGGACUGGUCGGCGGGUUGGAUGGAUGGUGGCAGCAACUCAUCUAUCUAGAAGCCUAUGAUUCCUCAAGCGGCUCUAGAUACUACGAGAGGGAUGAACCUACUUUUUUGUGCUGGUUCGUUGGUGAUGCUUGGUUUUAGCGACAAGGGAGCUGCCUUUUAUUGUCACUGUUAGUGCUGAUUGAAAUUGACAUGGAAAACAAAGGAAGAACUGAUGGAACCAUCACAUAGCUAAGAAAAGGACAGUCAUUUGAUCCGGUGUCUGAACUAAUGGUUAAACGGCAUGACUAUUGAACCAUCACAUGGUUUCGGAAGAAAUUUCAGAAUUUGGAAUCUUAAAUGGUCUCCGAUUGAUUAUGUUAGUGCACGAUGCAUAUGUUGAUGAAUAUGACUAUGUAGCACCGGCAGAAGUUCAGUGAUGAUUGCCAUUAAGCAUGUACGAUAUAGGUUCAAAGAUUUGAUUGCUUGUCAGAUCCAAAGCAUCCAGAAUGCUGCUGCUUAUGCUCUGUGUUUGUUGGUACUACUGUAAGCAUACACGGGAAUCACAUAACUGGCUCGUUGACAUUCAACCCUUGGAAAACACAACUAGGGUUUUUCCAUCCUAAAUUCUAGUGGGUAAAACAAUGUAUUUCGCGCCAAUAGAGUUUAUAUCUAGGGCUUCAGAAUUUCUUUGUUUCUUGACAGAAGAUUCUAAAAUGUUCUAACUAGUUUCUGGUUGUGUAUGGUUUUUCUGUUUUCUCCCGGUAGGUUCAAUUUUGACAUUUGCUGCUUUUGUGGACAUCCUCCAAGUUGUGAAAUAUGAAUUAUUAUUUUGUAUAGGGAUCUUCAAAAUUGUAUUUCUAGAUAGUAGUUCUAUUGUAAGGAAUUAUGUCCUUCCUUGCUGAAUUGAGUUAAUUAAUAUCCGACAAGCAUCUUUACUUGAAUGGCAAUUUAGAUUGCUUUUGGUUGAAAGUUUAAAAGGCAUUUGAAUUUUAGUUAGGUUUUUCAACAUCUUUAGUUUACGUUCAAUGACCUGUAAUUCAUUUGUCUAUUUUCUGGGAUGUUUCUCUUCUGGAUAACAAGGCAAUAUCAUAAUUUCAAAUAUUUUUCUACGCAUCCUUUAUCAUGUAAGUAUAACCAUUCUUUAGUUCUCUUCUACAUGAUGUUCUUAAUAAAAUUAGUGCUAUGUGUAGUAUAGACACAUUGAGGCUAUUGGUUUAAACAAAUUUUAGGUUCCAAUAUCUUCUUACGUCUGCAACUAAUUUUCCCGUGAGGAAAAUAUUUGCACAAUUUUUGCUCAACCUCUUCAUUUCAUAUCUUCUAAAGCAUGAUGCUUUACAAAUUCCAAAUGAUGGAUAGUAUAGAAAUUAAAAUCUCUACUAAAAGUCCUUUUUUGCAUCCUUCUCUUUGGGCUUGGGUCUUUCCAAACUUUGAUUUGCUGGAGAUGAAAAAUUUCCUCCGUGCAUUCUUGCUUAAGCAGCAUGAUGAAGAUUCAUUCUUCUUAGGGAAAUGUAUGCCAAGAGUCGGUAACCAAACACCAUUGCUAUCAUGGCUCCAACUUCUAUAACACCAUUGUUGAGGUGAGUAACAUUUAGAGAGAGUGGUGCUUGGUCAUACUGCACCUUGAGUAAGAGUCUGUAAGUGUGAUAGUUGAAAGACAUGUAGCGGACCCAUGAUAUGAAUACUGGAACCCUCUGCAAUUAUUAGUACCAUGUUAUCUAUUUUGAUCAAUCUACUAUGAGAAAAACAAAAUGUGUCACAUUUGUUUAUAGGUUUCCUUUUUCCCCUUAAUAAUGUCAAACAGGAGAAAAAUAUUUCAUACAUGUUGCUUAAAUCUUUCAUGAUUUUACCUAAGUGGAGGAGAAAGAUUGUGCAAAUGCCUCAAAAACAUCCAUGAUUACUAUUUAACACAAAAGUUAACAUACAUUGUGUUUUUGCUUGUGAACUUUUGUGCCAUACUGUUUCUACUGAGGGGCAAGGGCAAUUCUCCUAUCAUCAUCCAGAAAGUUGCAUUUGAGAAGUCUUUUCUGGAGCUUUUUUUUCUCUGCCACUUAAUAUUCUUGUCUUUGGAAAGUUGCUAGUAAUAUUCAUCUAAUAUUUGUUCUGGUUAUUUGAGAUCAUUGUUAGUACUAAUUUCUUAUUAUAUUAUUGUUAUUAGUUCUUUAAAGCUAUUAGAAUCUUUCUCUCUAGUCCAUGCAAUGACAUGAAUAUUUUUUAUCUGAAAAAUAUGUGUUUCUAUUGUAGAACAAAACAAAAGUCUUUGAUGAAAAUGUGAUGAUUCAUAAUUUUGCUUAUAUUGAUUAAGAUAUUCUCCUGUAAAGCAUGAGAUAACCCUUACCUUCACAAAAAAUCCACCAGCAAGCAUAAAGGUCAUUACUGUAACUGAAGCUAAAGUAGUUGCCUUCUUGACGUCCAUUAGUGAGGCUCCGAUUGCCAAUCCUAGUCCCUGCACAGAAGAUAAACUCUAUAUAACCGACACCUUGAUGACAUAUGACAGAUGCUGCUUCUAGAAAUAUACUAUUUUUUGUCCUGCAUACCUGGGCAGCAACAAUACUGAGAAAUACAAUUAACAUAGUAAGAAAGAAGGCCUCCACACUCUGCCUUAAUGCUGCCAUGAAAUAUACAAUUAGCAGGAAUAUUAUUGGUAGGAACAGGUCCAGCGGCAAAUCGCUUGUUGUCCUGGCCAUGAAAUAAGCGCUUAGCCUGUACAUGUCAACUGCUCUUUCCUUAUUUAACAUUGCUCUUUCUUGUGGAAAUGUAAAGAUUGCCGUGAAAACCGGGAAGAAGCCCCAAAAGACAGCAAUAAAGAACAACAAUCCUGCCUGCAUAUUAGAUUUUGAAUGGGCUAUUAGCUGCCACUUACAUUUGAAGAAGAUUUAAGUAAAUUCUUGCUCAUAAUUGCUAUAUACAUUAUAAUUAUAUUAUUCUUUUAUCAGUUCUCGUUGAAUGCUUUUAAGAAUUCUAUUUGCAUAAUAGUAUAGCCAUUCCUUGGAGAUGUCUCAACUGUAAAAUUGGGAUUUGUUUGACAAUUUAUUUAGAAUGACUACAAUAUAAAUCAUGAUUAACUUGCAUAAGUUAUUUGUAGCUAAAUAGGUUACUAAUGUUUGACAUACAAAUUUGCAAAAGUUACAGACAUUAAACGAUAGACCUAAAUAUCAACACAAAACCAUUGGCAAAUCUUUAUCUCAUGCAUAAAUAUUAGAUCAUUGGUUGUGAUAUUAAAACUAUAUAAGCAGAAGCCGAUGAUAAACUGAACUACACGCUGUUAUACACAAGCUAUUUCUACUAGUCAGCCUGUCUGGAAUUACUAUUUCUAUAGUACAGGAUGGAAAUGGUUUUUUUACCUGAUCUUGCAGACCUUUUGGGGUUGUGCUAUCGGAGUGCCACCAAAGUAAACCUAGGAUUACUGCAGUUGCAAUAACUUGAGUGAUUCUCAUCCAACUUAGGUAAUCAUGUCGUCUUUCUUUUAAUCCUCUCCAAAACAAUAUGGAGUACUGUUGCAACCAGCUUGCACCCCAAUCUCUUCUUGGUGAUGACACAGUGACCUUCAAAUCUUCACUUAUAGGAAGAGGUGCCAUUAACUUCUUUUUUUCCUUAACUGCAACUCUAGUCUCAUAGGCCUCCACCAGGUACUGUUUUAAAGUUUUUAUGAAAGUCAAAAGAUAAUAGUUUUUUUUAUGAAUGCAAAAUAUGGCAAUAUAAAUAGAUGUGGGUUUAUCAUAAAUCUCCUAUGUGCUAAUCUUUUGUCCAUUUGAUUGUUACCCUGAUAAGUGUCACCAGAUGUUACCCUUUCAUUGUUGAGAAAUAUUUUGUUAUAUGAACAUUAAAUAUCUAUAUAAAAUUGUCAAAAGCAUAUGUAGUUGUAAGAAGGAAGUAUCAUUUUUUCCAAUCAGGGUUGGUUUCUUUUAUUUUUAAUAAUUAUGCUGAUUGUAAUUUGUUAUUGAAAAAUGCAUGCUUUUAAGAUCAGGGUGCUAAACUUACCUCAUGCACAUCUUUUGGAGAUGGCUUGUCGUUUCUUAUAUCGCUUCCAAGGUUUUCUAUCUGCACUUUAUCCUCUAGCUCUGAAGGUAUUGAAAUAUCAUUUGUGUUGCCAUUAGCAAGAUCAAGUAGGAAUUCUGCUGGGUUCAUUGCAAUGAGAGGAGAACACCCAAUUGUUGAAAAGUAGACCAGUGCUUCUGAUGCUUUCCCGAAAUAUAACAAACUACCUUUUCCAAGAAGGAUCAGUUUAUCAAAUCUAUGAAAAAGUCUGCUAGAUGGCUGAUGAAUUGUGGUUAGAACUGUUCUUCCAGCCUGAGGUAGGAUAAAAAGAUGCCAUGAGUCAGACAAUGAUGUAAAAUCUCUUGCAUGUUUACUGAUAUCCAUCGUAUUCUUCUAACUUGAGUAAAGUAGCUUGUAGGGGCACCAAUCAUGAUUGUUUUAUAUUAUGUUGCAAGUUAAAGCACUUUGUGUUGUUGGUUGGUCUCCCAUAGAAGUUCUCUUUCUUCAUUGAUAUUUAUUUUUUAUAUUUUUGUUUCUGAUAGGUCUAUGAACUAUUUUUAUGCAAGUAACGAGCAACUCACUACGUUAGACUUCCCUGUUAUAUGAUCAUAUUUACUUCCUUUUUCCAAUCUAUGCCUUUUACCAUUGUUAUGAACUUUCCUUAGCAGAGCUUGUUCAGUGAACUUAUUCUGUCUCACUGCAAAUACAAAUAACUACUUUACAUGUGGAAAAUAUACUCAUUGUUGACAUAUCGGAUUGUAUGUUCAUGAAAUUUAUGCAUACCACUCUCUAAUUUUAGAAUGAGUAGAAACAACAUGGAACUCAUCUAUUGAGGCCAUUGUGUUAAAAAAAAGUGAGAGAAUUUAGGGCAUAUCCAUUGUGUGCAAGGCCGAAAGUCUGAACACUGACUGUGGCAUGGCCUUAAUAUUCUGACAUACAUUCUUUCACUAAACAAGUUCAAGGGGCUCUUUUUGCUGAGAAUAUAUUUAGGUAUAACCUUUUGCACCUAUAUUUUCUCCCCACUUGGAGAAUAACUUUCAGUGGUAUACCAGCUUUCAGAUUACAAUUCAUUUAGGUAUCACUGACUUUCUGGAGUGACACACAAUCUAGAUGUAUGCUACAGUUGUUUAACUACCACAUAAAUAAAUAAAUACAUAUGCUGUGCUUACCUCGGCUAUGUCACGCAAAACUUGCAUUAUUCUUAGGGCUGUUGUUGAAUCCAAACCAGAGGUGGGUUCAUCAAGAAGCAGCAAAGAUGGGUUAAUAAUAAUUUCAUUCCCAAUAGAGACCCUCUUCCUUUCACCUCCUGAGACUCCUCGUACAAAAGAUCCUCCAAUCAUGGUGUCUUGGCACCUGCCAUUGUUAUCAAAAUUAGGAAGAUCGAACACCCUCUGAGUUGGCAACAUAGGCAAGUUCUCUUCCGGCUUUUCAAAGUAGACAACAUCCAGUAAUUGCACCUCAGAGGAGCUUUUUACUGGAUAUGGCAGGAAAUAGCUUGAAGACUGGGAGGUUACCUUUCAAGUCCUAGCUCAUAGAUGACAUCCAUUGCCCUCUCCUCCUUCUGCUGUCUACUCAUUUUGUUUGGAAGACGAAGGAGAGCUGCAUAAGUUAGUGUUUCUCUCACAGUAAGAUGUGCAAAGAGAACAUCAUCCUGAGUCACAAAUCCUAUCCUGCCAGGUGAAUGCAAUUGUUCGAUCUUAUUGUGAUUCAUAACAUAUAAGCAAGCUGAAGGACAUCUUAAGAGGAAGUAUCAAUCGCUAAGAUAUUAAAAAAGAAGAACAUGAACAUGUCUUCUUUUAUGUUACAGAAAUUACUUACAUUCUCCACUCAAACACAAUUCAAAUUGUACAUGAUUUCCAAAGACUGCUAUUAAGGACAAAGCAUUAUGAUCAUCUUCUUCUAGUUUUCUUUUUUCUUUGAUUUAAGCAGAGUAGCCAUCCUAUCUGACAAUAAAGUGUUAAUGUAUUGAUGGUUAUUUUUUGAGAGAAGUUUAUAUGUGUGCUUACUUUAUGCAGGUUCCUAGAAGUACAUCCAUGCAGGUGUUUUUGUUCCUCAUUCAGGUUGACUUGUUAAAGACAAUAUGCAAUUUAAUUGUUUUCAUAGUGCCUUUUUACCUGCGCUUUAGAGACUUGGUGUAUGGUUCGUCAUUGUAAGUUAUGGUUCCUUCGACCAAAUUGCCACGUAUCCUUCCUCCGAGGAGGCUCAGGAGAGUGGUUUUUCCGCUACCAGAAGGUCCCAUUAGGGCUAGAAGCUCUCCGGGGCUCGCUGAACCUGUAAUUCCGUUGAGGAUAUCUUUCUCAGUGGUUGUUGUUACUCCUUUGAGGAUUACCUUGUAUCUAACCUCUGUAAACUGCAACAUUAACGAAAGAAAGUAGCGAUAGAAAUACUUUUCAGUGGUUAUCGUCCAGACCUGACUAAAUUAGCUUGUACGAAUGCUUAUAGACUCUCAGAUGCUUGCUCAGAUUUCAGUCCUCUGAUUAAGCUGAUCUGAGAACAUACAGCAGGAUUAAGGUGGUGUCACAUUGACGCUUCAAUUGACAAUAGACAUCCACUAACUAUUCUGUUCUUCUGGAACUAUGCCUUUAUUCCAACUUUCUUUAGAAAAGGAAGUUUCAGCAAUGACUGAAUUAUAUACCUCUGGAUUGGGAUUACCUUUAUAUAUAUUGGCACAGUUGGCUCUGAUAUUAUCUUUUUCUUCAUGUGUCCAGCCUCUGGAUCCUUUCCUGCAAGAUGAGGAUUUUAUUUGACAAGUGGUUGAAGAAAAAUGAAUGAAAGGUUACCAUUGUCAUCAUCACUGAAAGACCUCAGAUCCGCAAUGAUGUCUUCGGGAGGGGCAGUGAAGCCGGUGAAUGAAAAGGAGAAGCCCAGACUGGCACUGGAAGCUCUGCUCAAGGCAGCACCGCUGCUCACAUCCUCCAAGUCUAGCUUCAGCUGUCCGCUCCGUGACUUCCGACUGUGGUGCCCGACUUUCCUCCCUGGUGAAGUUCCCACUGUUUUCUUCCCAAAGCUCGACUUCCUGGAUAAGCUCGGCUCCCCAUUAGUGUUUGAGGUCAGAAUCGUUUCGGCAGAGGCCGUGCGGCUUAUCGACUGUGACGCUGCAACCUUCUCCAGUUGGUCCGACUUUGUCCUACCGAUCAUCGAUGUAACCGAAUCCAUCUUUCAACACAACGGUACUGCUGUUAGUUAUCUGCAUUCGACGGUCAGUCAGAUACUCCCACAUGCUUGAUUCAAAAAGGAGACAUGGAGAAUUCAGAUCUAUUUCCAUUUCAGACUGAGUUAAAAGGACAAGAAGGCGCCAACUCUUUUUUUUUUUUUUUUUUAAUCUUUCCUGAUGCAGUGAUGUCACCUAUCAAACUAUUAGUCUUUUUGUUUUCUCCUGUGUGUGUGUGUGUGUGUGUAAGGAAUAUUGUUUUUCCACUAUAUUUGAUAUGACACAUCUUUUGAAACUAAGCACAGAGAAA